UAAGGCGUUGAAGCAGUGUACGUCAGACUUCCAAGAAAAGCUCGCAAUGUCAUAAAUAAAGAAUGCCUGUACCAUAACCGACACAGGUGGGUAGGUAGAGUAUACUAAGGGGCGCGAGAUAACUCUCUCUAAGGAACUCGGCAAAAUGACUCCGUAACUUCGGGAGAAGGAGUGCCUUAUUUAUAAGGUUGCAAUAACAAGAUCCAAGCAACUUUUUAUCAAAAACACAGGUCUCCGCUAAGUCGUAAGACGAUGUAUGGGGGCUGACGCCUGCCCAGUGCCAGAAGGUUAAAGAAGUUGGUUAGUGUAUGCGAAGCUGAUGACUGAAGCCCUGGUGAACGGCGGCCGUAACUAUAACGGUCCUAAGGUAGCGAAAUUCCUUGUCGGGUAAGUUCCGACCCGCACGAAAGGCGUAAUGAUUUGGAUACUGUCUCGGAGAGAGGCUCGGUGAAAUAGACUUGUCUGUGAAGAUGCGGACUACCUGCACCAGGACAGAAAGACCCUAUGAAGCUUUACUGUAACUUGAAAUUGGAAUUGGACUUUGCUUGCGCAGUAUAGGUGGGAAGCGUUGAAGAUAUUCUUGCGGGAGUAUUGGAGCUAUCAGUGAGAUACCACUCUUGUAAUGUUAGAUUUCUAACUUUGAACCAUAAUCUGGUCAAAGAACAGUUUCAGGUGGGCAGUUUGACUGGGGCGGUCGCCUCCCAAAUGGUAACGGAGGCGUACAAAGGUUUCCUCUGAACGGAUAGAAAUCGUAUCUAGAGUGUAAAGGCAUAAGGAAGCUUGACUGUGAGACCUACAAGUCGAGCAGGGACGAAAGUCGGUCUUAGUGAUCUGACGGUACUGAGUGGAAAGGCCGUCACUCAACGGAUAAAAGUUACUCUAGGGAUAACAGGCUGAUCUCCCCCAAGAGUUCACAUCGACGGGGAGGUUUGGCACCUCGAUGUCGGCUCAUCGCAUCCUGGGGCGGUAGUACGUCCCAAGGGUUGGGCUGUUCGCCCAUGAAAGCGGUACGCGAGCUGGGUUCAGAACGUCGUGAGACAGUUCGGUCCAUAUCCGGUGUAGGCGUUAGAAUAUUGAGAGGAGCCUUCUUUAGUACGAGAGGACCGAGAAGGACACACCGCUGGUGUACCAGUUAUCGUGCCAACGGUAAACGCUGGGUAGCUAUGUGUGGAGUGGAUAACCGCUGAAAGCAUCUAAGUGGGAAGCCCACCUCAAGAUGAGUAUUCCC
rnacentral:rRNA from 1 species